rnacentral:rRNA from 1 species
ACGGGAGGCAGCAGUGAGGGAUAUUGCACAAUGGGCGAAAGCCUGAUGCAGCAACGCCGCGUGAGGGAUGACGGUUUUCGGAUUGUAAACCUCUGUCUUUGGUGAUGAUAAUGACAUUAGCCAAGGAGGAAGCCACGGCUAACUACGUGCCAGCAGCCGCGGUAAUACGUAGGUGGCAAGCGUUGUCCGGAUUUACUGGGUGUAAAGGGAGCGCAGGCGGGAAAGCGAGUCAGCGGUGAAAUGCAUAGGCUUAACCUAUGAACUGCCGUUGAAACUGUUUUUCUUGAGUGAAGUAGAGGCAAGCGGAAUUCCGAGUGUAGCGGUGAAAUGCGUAGAUAUUCGGAGGAACACCAGUGGCGAAGGCGGCUUGCUGGGCUUUAACUGACGCUGAGGCUCGAAAGUGUGGGGAGCAAACAGGAUUAGAUACCCUGGUA